AUCCAGAGAACUUAGCAGAGAUGCUUUGGUGCCUUCGGGAACUCUGAGACAGGUGCUGCAUGGCUGUCGUCAGCUCGUGUUGUGAAAUGUUGGGUUAAGUCCCGNAACGAGCGCAACCCUUAUCCUUUGUUGCCAGCGGUUCGGCCGGGAACUCAAAGGAGACUGCCGGUGAUAAACCGGAGGAAGGUGGGGAUGACGUCAAGUCAUCAUGGCCCUUACGGCCAGGGCUACACACGUGCUACAAUGGCGCAUACAAAGAGAAGCGACCUCGCGAGAGCAAGCGGACCUCAUAAAGUGCGUCGUAGUCCGGAUUGGAGUCUGCAACUCGACUCCAUGAAGUCGGAAUCGCUAGUAAUCGUAGAUCAGAAUGCUACGGUGAAUACGUUCCCGGGCCUUGUACACACCGCCCGUCACGCCAUGGGAGUGGGUUGCAAAAGAAGUAGGUAGCUUAACCUUCGGGAGGGCGCUUACCACUUUGUGAUUCAUGACUGGGGUGAAGUCGUAACAAGGUAAGCGUAGCGAG
rnacentral:rRNA from 1 species